GACGAACGCUGGCGGCGUGCCUAAUACAUGCAAGUAGAACGCAGUUGCGAACGGGUGAGUAACGCGUCGGUAACUGCCUGGUAGCGGGGGAUAACUAUUGGAAACGAUAGCUCAUACCGCAUACUACCAGAUGGACCUGCGUUGUAUUAGCUAGUUGGUGAGGUAACGGGUCACCAAGGUAACGAUACAUAGCCGAACCGAGGGGGUGUGCGGCCAACAUGGGACUGAGACACGGCCCAGACUCCUUCGGGAGGCAGCAGUAGGGAAUCUUCGGCAAUGGGGGGAAACCUUACCGAGCAACGCCGCGGGAUUGAAGAAGGUUUUCGGAUCGUAAAGCUCUGUUGUUAAGGAAGCGGUACUUAACCAGAAAGGGACGGCUAACUACGUGCCAGCAGCCGCGGUAAUAC
rnacentral:rRNA from 1 species